ACGAUGCCUAGGGGUUCUGAGAGGAAGGUCCCCCACACUGGUACUGAGACACGGACCAGACUCCUACGGGAGGCAGCAGUGAGGAAUAUUGGUCAAUGGGCGAGAGCCUGAACCAGCCAAGUCGCGUGAGGGACGACGGCCCUACGGGUUGUAAACCUCUUUUGCCGGGGGACAAACGGCGGCACGCGUGCCGUCCUGAGGGUACCCGGAGAAAAAGCAUCGGCUAACUCCGUGCCAGCAGCCGCGGUAAUACGGAGGAUGCGAGCGUUAUCCGGAUUUAUUGGGUUUAAAGGGUGCGUAGGCGGGAUGCCAAGUCAGCGGUCAAAUACGGGGGCUCAACCUGCGUCCGCCGUUGAAACUGGCGUUCUUGAGUGGGCGAGAAGUACGCGGAAUGCGUGGUGUAGCGGUGAAAUGCAUAGAUAUCACGCAGAACCCCGAUUGCGAAGGCAGCGUACCGGCGCCCAACUGACGCUGAAGCACGAAAGCGUGGGUAUCGAACAGGAUUAGAUACCCUGGUAGUCCACGCAGUAAACG
rnacentral:rRNA from 1 species